GACGUAGGGGGCGAGCGUUGUCCGGAUUUAUUGGGCGUAAAGAGCUCGUAGGCGGCUCGUUGCGUCGGCUGUGAAAACCCGCAGCUCAACUGUGGGCUUGCAGCCGAUACGGGCGGGCUGGAGUUCGGUAGGGGAGACUGGAAUUCCUGGUGUAGCGGUGAAAUGCGCAGAUAUCAGGAGGAACACCGAUGGCGAAGGCAGGUCUCUGGGCCACUACUGACGCUGAGAAGCGAAAGCAUGGGGAGCGAACAGG
rnacentral:rRNA from 1 species